rnacentral:rRNA from 1 species
CCUACGGGUGGCAGCAGUGAGGAAUAUUGGUCAAUGGACGAGAGUCUGAACCAGCCAAGUAGCGUGAAGGAUGACUGCCCUAUGGGUUGUAAACUUCUUUUAUAUGGGAAUAAAAUGUUCCACGUGUGGGUUUUUGUAUGUACCAUAUGAAUAAGGAUCGGCUAACUCCGUUCCAGCAGCCGCGGUAAUACGGAGGAUCCGAGCGUUAUCCGGAUUUAUUGGGUUUAAAGGGAGCGUAGGUGGAUUGUUAAGUCAGUUGUGAAAGUUUGCGGCUCAACCGUAAAAUUGCAGUUGAAACUGGCAGUCUUGAGUAAAGGAGAGGUGGGCGGAAUUCGUGGUGUAGCGGUGAAAUGCUUAGAUAUCACGAAGAACUCCGAUUGCGAAGGCAGCUCACUGGACUGCAACUGACACUGAGGCUCGAAAGUGUGGGUAUCAAACAGGAUUAGAUACCCGGGUAGUC